AGAAGAGCACAUAUUCAAAUGUGUUUCCCAAAGCUUGUUUCAUUGAAGAGAUUUUGCUGAGUGCUCCAGGGGACAGGGGUGAGGGCGGGGGCAGGAGGGCAAGAGGUGUCCUCUGCUGGUUCCGAUGGACUGCCAUAUCCUACACGUGCACCUGGCUAUGCUGCCCGCUGCUCCAUCUGAGCCUGCUUUCCCAGGUCACAAGCAGGGAACUGGAUGGGAAGUGGAGCUGCCAGGAUUAGAACUGGUACCCAUAUGGGAUCCUGGUGCAUUCAACGCGAGGACUUUAGCUGCUAGGCCACUGCGCUGGGCCCUAUUGUUCAGCUUUUAAUAAAGAGGAAUGAAGUACUGAAAUAUGAAAGGAAUUGGCGCUAUGGCAUAGAGGCUUAAUCUACCACCUGCAGUGCUAGUAUUUCUUAUGGCAUUUUCUGGCUGCUCCACUUUCAAUCCAACUUCCUGUUAAUGUACCUGGGAAAGCAGUGGAGGAUGACCCAAGUGCAUGGGGUUUUACAUGCAUGUAGGAGACCCAGAACCUCUGGCCUUCUGGCUUCGGUGUGGCCUAGUCCUGGCCAUUGCAACCAUUUAGGGUGUGAACCAGUGGACAGAAAACCUCUCAGUUUCUCCUUAUCCAUAUAUCUCUGCCUUUGAAACAAGAAAGAAAAGAAAUAUGCAGCAAUGUGAAUGAGUCUUACAGGCUUUCAGUUAAUACAAGAAGCCAGUGUCAGAAGGUUCCAUACUGCUUAAACCUACUGAUACGGCAUGUCAUGUGUGAAAAGCAGAACUGUCUGGAUAAAGAACAGAGCAGUCAUUACCAAGGAUGAGAAUUCAACUAAAAAAGAAACUGGGGAGUGGGGAGAAGGGUAUAGUCAGCUUUCUGUCACCAUAACUGAAACAUGUGAGAAAAAGUAAUUAAGAAAUAGACUGGGGCUGGACCUGUGGCACUGGUAUCCAAUAUGGACACUGGUUUGAGUCCUGCUUGUAUCCUGGGCAAGCAGCAGAGGAUGGUCGAAAGCCUUUGUAUUCUAAAUCCAUGUUGGAGACUUGGAGUUAGCUCCUGGCUCCUGACUUCAGAUCAGCUCAGCUCUGGCCAUUGUGGCCAUUUGCAACCGAUAGAAGAGCUUCUCUGUCUCUCCUUCUCUCUGUAAAAUCUACUGACCCAUUAAAAAUA